UCUCUGUUAGUAUAUCGGUUAGUACACGCGCCUGUCAUUCACAUGGCCGCGCGAAAGCGGGGUUCGACUCCCCGACAGAGAG
rnacentral:tRNA from 1 species